ensembl:processed_transcript
GGCCUCGGGCCCUCGGGCCUUCCCAGGCCUGGGUCCUGUGGCCACCUCCUCGCUACCGACAGACAGGAGUUAGUCCCAGAGCCUGGGAGAACAGAGGACAGUGGCGAGUGCACCACCAGAUCCGAUCGGGCGUUGCCUGCAGCUCGCAGAUGCCUUUGUCCCUCCCCGUGGAAUUGGAACUCAACCACCGCAGCGCGCUCUUGGAACCAUGUGCUGCCUCCGCUGCCGCUGCCGCCGCCGCCGCCGCCGCCGCCGCCCGCCCGCCCGCGCCGCGACACGCCACGCCACGCCGCGCCUCAACAGACGAUGACAGGUCGGGCGUCACGAGAUUCAGCGUUCAGUACGGCUUUGCGGCCGGUGCUGCCGGCGCCACCGCUACCUCAGCCACCGCUUUGUCUCCGUAAGCGCACGCAGCGCGAAUCACCUCGCUCACUCCCGACGGCCCGGCCGCCGAGGCCUCCAGCGCACCUUCGGCCAAUCACAGAGCUCGAAGUCUUCCCGCCCCCGCCCUGAGACUCCACCUUCUGAUUGGCGAGCGACGUCGGUCCACGUGACCGGAUCUUGUUUGGCCGGUCCGCCCCCAUCACGUGAGGGCGCGCGCCUCUCUUCCUGCUUUCCUGACCCCUCUCGGCCAUUUAAAGGAACAGUACCGGGGGCGGGCCGAGAGACGCAGCCGGGACGGUAGCUGCAGCGCAGAGCGGAGGAGCCAUCUUGUCUUGUCGCCGGGGAGUCAGGCCCCUAACUCGAAGAAGCCCUGGCGCGCCCUCCCCCCCUCCCCGGUCUGGUAGGGCGAAGGAGCGGGCGUGCGGUCGAUCGAGCGAUCGGUUGGCGGCUCUUUCUCCUGCUCUGGCAUCCAGCUCUUGGGGCGCAGGCCCGGCCGCCGCGGCGCGCGCCCGGUGGCCGUUGGCGCUCGCGCCGCGUCUUUCUUCUCGUACGCAGAACUCGGGCGGCGGCCUAUGCUUUUGCGAUCCGACGAGGGGUCGUCCGGGUGGUUGGCGGCGGCGGGCAACUCCGCCCCGCUCCCGGGGAGGCGGCGGGGGAGGCUGGGGUGGCCGGGGCUGGCCUGGAGGCCUGGCGCCACCCUUCGGGGCCUGCUAGGACCCAGUUGGAGGGUCAAGAGGGAGCUGGAGGAUGGUUGGUGGUGGGCUUCCUCCUUUGCCUUUUCCUACUUAUGCCACCUUAGUGGGGAGCGAGAGCGCUGGCGGCAGCUCCGGGGUGGGGAUUCGAGCUCCGGAGUCGGAAGAUCUGGGUUUGCUUCCGGGCCUAGCCACUCGCUGGCCGAGUGACCUUAGGCAAGUCACUCUGUAAUCUGUCUGCGCCUCAGUUUCCUCCUCUGCCUAUCAGUGUGUGUAUGGAAUUGGAAGCUCUCUUCAAAAGUGUCGGUUUACAGAAAGAUGAUUAUUGUUUUUUUUUUUUCCUUUGAGUUGCAAGAAGUCAUAACAAUUGCUCAUUCCCUGAAAUUAAAUUCGGGAACCUUUUAUUGGAGUUGGAGAUGGGAAGGUUCCCUGAACUUCUUCUGUACAGAAACACGUGGGAAAGUGUUUUCUAGGGGGAUGAGUAGAUCCUUCAGUAGCGAGUUUUCAAAGGGGGCUAUGACCCAGAAGAGUUUAGAACAGUUUUUGCCA